rnacentral:ribozyme from 1 species
AUACACCUGCUUUUCACUGCUUCGGCAUAUUUAACUGAUCCGUUGCCUUUUCAUUUUCCAAAAAUAAAUAAACACUACACGAAAACAACAACAAAGACAAGGAGAAGAGAAGGGAGAAAAGCUUGACACAUACAAAAAUACAUACAUGCGACUGCUAUCGAGCAGCCAGUCAGAAAAGAGAAGAUGGGACAG